rnacentral:rRNA from 1 species
AUACGAAAGGUGCAAGCGUUGUUCGGAUUUACUGGGCGUAAAGAGAGUGUAGGUUGUUUAUUAAGUCGGAUGUGAAAUCCCGGGGCUCAACCUCGGAACUGCAUUCGAUACUGAUAGGCUAGAGUUUGGGAGGGGUAAGCGGAAUUCCGUGUGUAGCAGUGAAAUGCGUAGAUAUACGGAGGAACACCUGAGGCGAAGGCGGCUUACUGGACCAAUACUGACACUGAGACUCGAAAGCGUGGGUAGCAAACAGGAUUAGGAACCCUAGUAGUCC